rnacentral:rRNA from 1 species
CAAUAGCGUAUAUUAAAGUUGUUGCAGUUAAAAAGCUCGUAGUUGGAUUUGUGGCGUACGGUGUGUUCCGGGCACUUGUUGUCUGAGUAACCUGCUGUUGCCAUCCUUGGGUGGAACCUGUGUGGCAUUAGGUUGUCGUGCAGGGGAUGCCCAUCAUUUACUGUGAAAAAAUUAGAGUGUUCAAAGCAGGCUUAUGCCGUUGAAUAUAUUAGCAUGGAAUAAUGAGAUAGGACUUUUUUGCUAUUUUGUUGGUUUGCGCAAGAAGGUAAUGAUUAAUAGGGACAGUUGGGGGUGUUCGUAUUCCAUUGUCAGAGGUGAAAUUCUUGGAUUUUUGGAAGACGAACUACUGCGAAAGCAUUUACCAAGGAUGUUUUCAUUAA